GCGCCCUUCGUCUAUCGGUUAGGACAACAGAUUCUCAUUCUGUAAAGGCGGUUUCGACUACCGCAGGGCGCACCA
rnacentral:tRNA from 3 species